GAUGAACGCUGGCGGCGUGCUUAACACAUGCAAGUCGAACGAAGCGCAUUAACGGAUUUCUUCGGAUUGAAGUUGUUGUGACUGAGUGGCGGACGGGUGAGUAACGCGUGGGUAACCUGCCUCAUACAGGGGGAUAACAGUUAGAAAUGACUGCUAAUACCGCAUAAGACCACAGUACCGCAUGGUACAGGGGUAAAAACUGAGGUGGUAUGAGAUGGACCCGCGUCUGAUUAGGUAGUUGGUGAGGUAACGGCUCACCAAGCCGACGAUCAGUAGCCGACCUGAGAGGGUGACCGGCCACAUUGGGACUGAGACACGGCCCAA
rnacentral:rRNA from 1 species